UCUGGUUGAUUUCUGCCAGUGGGCGUACGCUUUUUUCGAAGAUUAAGCCAUGCAUAUGCUAGUUCAUACAUUAAAAAUGUGAGACUGUGGAAGGCUCAGUAUAUCAGUUAUAAUCUGCUCGAUUGUAAAGGUUAUUGGAUAACCGUGGGAAAUCUAGAGCUAAUACAUGUACUAUCGUGGUUUACCACGAGCAUUGCAUUUAUUAAAUAUCACCAACCGUGUUGUUGUGCAUGUUGCAACGAUGCGUGAUGAAUCUAGAUAACUGUGCAGAUCGUAUGGCCUUGAGCCGGCGACAUUUCGAUUGAAUUUCUGCCCUAUCAACUUUUGUCGGCAGUUUAGUGGACUGCCGAGGUUAUCACGGGUAACGGGGGAUCAGGGUUCGAUUCCGGAGAGGGAGCCUGAGAAACGGCUACCACAUCCAAGGAUGGCAGCAGGCGCGCAAAUUACCCAAUCCAGAUAAUGGGAGGUGGUGAAGAAAAGUACCAGAUGUCGGUCGAAAGAUCGACAAUUUGGAAUGGAAACAAUUUAAGAAAUUGGUUUGAGUAACAACUGGAGGGCAAGUCUGGUGCCAGCAGCCGCGGUAAUUCCAGCUCCAGUAGCGUAUCUCAAAGUUGCUGCGCUUAAAACGCUCGUAGUUGGAUCAGAGAGCAUGUGUUAGUUGGAGCGGAAACUUGAAACGCCAACAUGGUUGCAUGGUCUCAUGUAAUGUGUGGGAAUGUUGAAAGAGUUGUCGCGACUGUAAGCUAAUGCAUGUUAAUUGCAUGUGAGGAUGGUAAUUGACCUUUAGUGAGUUGAUAACCGUGUCUCACAGAGUGUGCCUUGAGUAAAUCAGAGUGCUUAAAGCAAGUAUUUAUGCUUGAAUGUUGAUAGCAUGGAACGAACAAUCGUGUAUGGUGUGCAAUAAAUUGGACAUGUAACUUGAUUUACAGUGUUUGUAUUAUUGCACGACACCGACCACCAAUUACGGAUGUUGGUUCCGUAUUGGGGUACUGAUUAAGAGGAGCGGUUGGGGGCAUUGGUAUUUGGCAGCGAGAGGUGAAAUUCUUGGACCUACCAAGGACCAACAAAUGCGAAGGCAUCUGUCAAGACCGUAUCCAUUAAUCAAGAACGAAAGUGAGAGGUUCCGAAGACGAUCAGAUACCGUCCUAGUUCUCACUGUAAACUAUGCCGACCCGGGAUCAGUUUGGAGCAAUUUCCACGCUCGAGGUUGGUCCCCCUGGGAAACCUAAAGUUUUUCGGUUGCGGGGGGAGUAUGGUCGCAAGGCUGAAACUUAAAGGAAUUGACGGAAGGGCACCACCAGGGGUGGAGCCUGCGGCUUAAUUUGACUCAACACGGGAAAACUUACCUGGUCCGGACAUCAAAAGGAUAAACAGACCGAUAGAUCUUUAUUUUGAUAUGAUGAUUGGUGGUGCAUGGCCGUUCUUAGUUCGUGGAGUGAUCUGUCAGGCCAAUCCCGGUAACGAACGAGAGCACAGUUUCCAUUUGACGCGCCAAAGAAGAUAUGUUUUUGCACGUUGGUUGUCGAAAGAUGGCUUGUGUGAUAACCUAUCCAUGGUAGUGGAGUUGUUGUGCUGGCAAAUGUUUCCGUUGUGGCAACAUGAUGGUUGAUGUUGAAAAGUGCGAUUGAUUCUACUCCCUUUGGUGUAACAAAGUAUUGAUCGCAAGAUUAGUGCGUUGUAUCAUGGAGAGACAGCGGAAUAUAUUCCAAAAUCCGAGGAAGUGUGGCUAUAACAGGUCUGUGAUGCCCUUAGAUGUUCAGGGCUGCACGCGCGCUACAAUGGUGGUGACAACGAGUUUCUGGAUCGAAAGAUUUGGGUAAUCUUGCAAUCACCGCCGUGAUGGGGAUCGACGUUUGUAAUUACGUCGUGAAAGAGGAAUCCCUAGUACGUGCGAUUCAUGAAAUCGCGCGGAUUUCGUCCCUGCCCUUUGUACACACCGCCCGUCGCUACUACCGAGUGAAUGGUACCAUAAUGCCUUGGGAGCGGACGUCGUUACUGGGUUAACGCCUGGUAUGAUGCUGCGAUCAGCGUAGAAUGGUGCAA
rnacentral:rRNA from 1 species